rnacentral:lncRNA from 1 species
CAUUUGCCUACACCAUAUUUUCUGAGGUUUUUUUUUUUGGUACCAGGGAUUGAAUCCAGGGGUGCUUAACCACUGAGUCACGUUCCCAGCCUUUUUAGAGAUAGGGUCUCCCUGCAGUUGCUCAGGGCCUUGCUAAGUUGCUGAGGCUGCCUUUGGAAUUGUGAUUCUCCUGCCUCAGUCUGGGAUUAUAGGUGUGGACCACCACACUGGGCUCACCCUGAAUUUUCUACAGGGUAGAGAAAUUAUAGAGCUGACUGUGAGGUUAAAUCUUUAUAAGUAAGAAAUACAUUUACUUUGAGGUAUUAAUUUCCCAGUUCCUGGAUGUAAAAGUGCUUUAAAGCAUCUUUAAGCAAUCAGUGUUUGAAUCGAAGAAUAAAAAUGUAAUCCAAGCAGGGUGUGGUGGUGCAUGCCUGUAAUCCCCGUGGUUUGGGAGACUGAGGCAGGAGGAUCAAGAGUUCAAAGCCAGCCUCAGCAAUUUAGCGAGGCCCUAAGCAACUUGGUGAGACCCUGUCUUUAAAUUAAGUACAAACAAAGGCUGGGAUGUCACUCUGUGAUUAAGUCCCCUGAGUCCAAUCCUUGGUCACUCCCCCACAAAUGUAAUCCAUACUAUUCCUUUUGGAUCACACAGUAGGCAUAAGCAUUAAAAAAGACUUUCCAUUUAACCACCCCUUCCCUGAAUUCUGGAAAAUGUUGCUAUAUAAAAUUUGAAAGCAUAAUGUGUGAGUAGAAGUAAAUGAUAGAGGACAAAUUUAUUUUUGUUAUUUAAUAUGAUAAAGUGAAUAGAACAUUUGAAUAGUAAUCACAAUUUUGACUUUGGUCCCAGUUUGUGCUUUUAUACCUCAGUUUCUUUACAUUAAAAGAGGGCUGAAUUAAACUUAUUCUUUCAAAAGACCCUUUACUGGGUAUCUUUUACUACGUUGCUAAGUCAUAGACUUGUCAGUGACUAAAUGUCAGAUGGGGAUAAAGGCCAUUAUUUUGCUUAUUUUUCUCUUAAAGAAUUUCCAGUGAUAUGUGUGUUUCUAGAUAUAAAAUUAUGUGUUUAUAGGGCCAGAAGAACUCUUCAAGUUCAUUUUGCUGGCUCCUUCUUUUCCUAAGCAGUAGCUGAAGCUAGAGAAGUCAUCUCUGUAAGCAUUAUGUGGCAGCAGUCUCCUUGUCUUGGAGGAUAGAAACUAGUCAGUGCAUUUUACAUUUUCAUGAAUUUAAUCUACAGUGUUAGGAUUUGCAUACUGUUUCUUAAAACUUGUUAGAACUGUCAGCCCUAACACAUAAAUCAGAUUAUUGUUGGAAGUUGGAUUGCAACUAGGAGGGAAAAACCCAGAAUCUUAGUUAUAAUUAACAAGUUGCAUGUGUUGUUUUUAAUAUUAAAAAGUUGCAUAUAUAAGUUACAUAUAUACAUAUAUGUUGUUAUAUGGAGGAAUGUUAAAGGUCAAGUCAACCAAUAAAUAAAUAAAUAAAAUUAAAAAGGAAUGUGUAUAGAUGGGUAAGGACAUGUUACAGAGGCUGAAUGCUUUAUCCAGG